rnacentral:pre_miRNA from 1 species
AAAAAGACAAACUCUGGUUUCCGUGUCCAACGUUUGACCGUCCGUCUUAUUUGAAAAAAUUAUGAAAAAAAAUUAAAAAGACAAGUCACGCAUAAAAUAUUAAUCAUGUUUUAUCAUCUAACAACAAUGAAAAUACGAAUUAUAAAAAAAAUUCAUAUAAGACGGACAAUCAAAGUUGGACACGGAAACCCAGGGUUUGUCUUUUU